GGUCAUCCUGAGCAUGACUGGCUGGGGCUCCUUUUCCUGCUUUAACAGGGUACAGAAAUCGGAAUGGAAACUCAAUUAAAACUCAGGCCUAGUGGAGGCUGGGCCAGGAGAAGCCUAGCCAUGGGGCUGCUGCGGCCUGCAGUUCCCUUCCUGGGUGGUUUUCGACGUGUAUCUGGAAGCCUUCUCCUUCCGCGGAGGCACUUUCAAGGUGUGAGUGGUGUUCCCAGGGCCCUCCAGGAGGCACCCCUUGUGCGACUCAGCCUCCCUCCUUCCUAGGUCAUCUAGCCACCCCUUGAAAUCUCCCGGCCUCCACUGUCUGGUCUUGUUUCCUCGGUCCCCACAACAGCCAGAGCUUCCUGCGGUCACACAUGUGCUGGCCUCCUCCCUGGCUUCUGCCUCUCCUUUCCUCUCAGCUGUAUGUAAGCACCUCAGCUCAGCUCCAGAUCCCUAACUGGAUUCCCGGAUUCCUUCCUGGUACUUACACCAUGUUACCCUCAGCCAACGGGCUCCUUGUUCAACCCAUGCUUUUCACUGGUCACUACACACUCUGAACUCCGGGGAGGCUUCUGGGCCCAUGUGCCAGACCAGCCCCAUAAGGCAGGACCACAGAGGCCGGAAGAUGGGAGCCAAGGAGCAGGCACAGCAGAGACACAUGCCCACCACAGAGUCCUGCCCCGGUGGCCUCAGCCCAACCUGGACCCUCGAGGGGUGAGGAGGAAUCCAACUUCCCACCCAACUGUGGAGCCCGGGCUGAUGGGCGAGAACAUCCAGGGCACAGAGAGGCAGGCCUGGAACUCAGCAAAGCCUGACCUGCUGGGGCUCAGCGGGUCCCCAAGUCACGGAGCUCGCCUACGCAGAUCCAGGAAGCCCCCGUAAGUGGGCUGCUGCAUCCACAGGAGAAACUCGGGGUCUUGGGUUGGACUGAGUCUCCUGUCGUACUGUGGAUGUUUCCGGAUCUGUGCGAACACAGACUACAGUAUUAGAAGUCUGGACAGGGCCGGAUCACCUCUCCAGGCAUCACUCCAGGCCUUUGACCUAAGAUGGUUAUGGGGACUCAGGACCAACCUUCUCUCUGACCCUCACACCCCAGGGCCAGUGCUGCAGAAGGAAGGCCGUGGGAAGUGGCCCUGCCAUGUCUGAAUUCAGGAAUUAAUGAGGGAGAUGGUCAAGUUUUCAAGAGUUCGGUCCCCACAGUGCUAUUCCUGGUUUGCUUUCUACAUGGAAAGGGCCCAGAACUCAUGCCCUAAAGAGAAUCUGUCCAGGCCCCUCAGCAUCCUUUGCCUGGCACCUCCUUUCUUCAGGAAGUGAAUUCCUAGACAAGGACUCAGCCCACAGCUCCCUGCCCUUCCCAGUACUGGCUCUUCAUCCUGGCGAAGGGUAUGUGAACAGAAAUCCACAGUUCCGUGUUUAUGACCAACUCAUAGAACUAAACUGUUUUGUUCUUACACAUUUUUUAUCUUUAGCCUACCAAUGACUUGGGCCUUAAGAUUUCCUGACAUUUGAAGUCUCUCUGCUCCGUAUUUAUGGGACCAUCACCCAUGGACAGACAAUUCUUGUUUUACUCGACAAUCCCAAGCUCAGAGAAGGGACAAGAGGAAGUAAGCGGACAGUCACGGUGCUGCUGUGUUUCUGAGAAACAAGGAGAAAGGCUGGCAGCUUUGUGUGCCCACCCCAAGCUGUGCCCUGGGGCUGGCAGGUUAAAGUGGCAUCCUUUCUCCUUGAACCUUGGGUAGAUCCUACGGUAGAAGCCGUGAAGGGUCCAGAGUCAAAUUCAGCAGCAGCUUUUCUUAGUUCUCUAGUUUUUUAUGUAUUUUGGCCAUUUCCCAAGUGUUUAUCUCUCUUCAAUUACAGCACCAUGUUAAACAGCC